rnacentral:rRNA from 1 species
CAGUCGCCGCGGUAAUACGAAGGGUGCAAGCGUUACUCGGAAUUACUGGGCGUAAAGCGUGCGCAAGCGGUUGUGUAAGACAGGUGUGAAAUCCCCGGGCUCAACCUGGGAAUGGCAAUGGAUACUGGCAAGCUAGAGUGUGUCAGAGGAUGGUGGAAUUCCCGGUGUAGCGGUGAAAUGCGUAGAGAUCGGGAGGAACGUCAGUGGCGAAGGCGGCCAUCUGGGACAACACUGACGCUGAGGCACGAAAGCGUGGGGAGCAAACAGGAUUAGAUACCCCGGUAGUCCCUGUCUCUUAUAC